UACAGAGGGUGCGAGCGUUGUUCGGAAUUAUUGGGCGUAAAGGGCGCGUAGGCGGUGCCACAAGUCACUUGUGAAAUCCCCGGGCUUAACUCGAGGCCUGCAGGCGAAACUGUGGUGCUGGAGUAUGGGAGAGGUGCGUGGAAUUCCCGGUGUAGCGGUGAAAUGCGUAGGAUAUCGGGAGGAACACCUGUGGCGAAAGCGGCGCACUGGACCGAUAACUGACGCUGAGGCGCGAAAGCUAGGGAGCAAACAGG
rnacentral:rRNA from 1 species